UAUUUUGGUCAUUUUAGUUUUUGAGUGCUAUUUUUGUGAUAUAAACUUGGUGCUAUUUUGGAGAUUUGUCCAUUUUUUAAUGAUCUUCGAUUAAUAUAUGGGGAGGGAUAAGUAACUAUGAAACCAAAAAAAAAAAUCUGAGAUUCCAUACAUGCCAUAUAAUAAAAAAAUUCUGAAUUAUGGUGUUCGUCCCGCAUUAGUUUCCCUAAUCACAUUCACAAGCACCAACGCACAGAAAAAUAGAAAGUGGGAC
rnacentral:lncRNA from 1 species